rnacentral:rRNA from 1 species
ACUCCUACGGGAGGCAGCAGUGGGGAAUUUUGGACAAUGGGCGAAAGCCUGAUCCAGCAAUGCCGCGUGAGUGAAGAAGGCCUUCGGGUUGUAAAGCUCUUUUGUCAGGGAAGAAACGGUGAAAGCUAAUAUCUUUUGCUAAUGACGGUACCUGAAGAAUAAGCACCGGCUAACUACGUGCCAGCAGCCGCGGUAAUACGUAGGGUGCAAGCGUUAAUCGGAAUUACUGGGCGUAAAGCGUGCGCAGGCGGUUUUGUAAGUCUGAUGUGAAAUCCCCGGGCUCAACCUGGGAAUUGCAUUGGGGACUGCAAGGCUAGAAUCUGGCAGAGGGGGGUAGAAUUCCACGUGUAGCAGUGAAAUGCGUAGAUAUGUGGAGGAACACCGAUGGCGAAGGCAGCCCCCUGGGUCAAGAUUGACGCUCAUGCACGAAAGCGUGGGGAGCAAACAGGAUUAGAUACCCGAGUAGUCCCAUGAU